rnacentral:tRNA from 1 species
GUCCCAGUAGCUCAGCAGGAUAGAGCAACAGCCUUCUAAGCUGUAGGUCACAGGUUCGAAUCCUGUCUGGGACG